rnacentral:rRNA from 1 species
UUGAAAGGGAAACGAUUGAAGUCAGUCGUACCUUGGGUUAUUCAGCCUUUUGGGUGGGUUUCUGGGGGUUUNGNGGACCUUAACACCUUCAUGCUUUGCAUAUUCGUGCUCUUGGGUGUACUUGCCCGUGUGGUUGGUUAACAUCAAUUUUGGNCNUCAUAAAAUGGCUGGAGGAAUGUAGCUUCGAUCUCGUAUUGAAGUGUUAUAGCCUUCGGUAGAUGUGAUGAUCGAGAUUGAGGAUUGCAACGGAUACCCUUCGGGGCUACCUGUCUGAUCUCUGAUCGUUGCUCUGGUGCCGAAAGCUUGCUUACGGUUAUCAAAGUCGAUGGUCAAUAGGUUAGAAUGGGUUAAAUUCGUUAAGGAUGUUGACGUA